rnacentral:rRNA from 1 species
ACGUAGGGGGCGAGCGUUGUCCGAAGUUACUGGGCGUAAAGCGCACGUAGGCGGUUAUUUAAGUCUGGGGUGAAAGGUUCAGCGCUCAACGUGAACAUUGCCUUGGAUACUGGGUGACUUGAGUCUGGGAGGGGGAAACGGAAUUCCUGGUGUAGCGGUGAAAUGCGUAGAUAUCAGGAGGAACACCGGUGGCGAAGGCGGUUUCCUGGCCUAAGACAGACGCUGAGGUGCGAAAGCGUGGGGAGCGAACGGGA